GAAAAAGAACAUUAUUUAAGGAUAAUAUAAGAGAUUAACAAGUAAACAUGACUAUGGACUUGAAAAAAAAACUCACAAGACGGUUUUAUUAUCAUCUGAACAAUUAAUUUGAGUUUACUUUGGAAAAUUGCUCUUAAAUUUAAAAAAUUAAGAAUAUUAUGCAAUUUAAUAGAUUUCAAGUUCUAUAUUAUUUAAGAUUGCAUGGACCGACCUUAACGACUAAUGUCUGAAAAUGUUUGUAUUGACUAUUUAUUAACGCCAUUAUCAAAUAGUUAAUAAUCAAUAAUGGUUUUUAAAAAAACAGAUUUAUGAACAAUUUGGUAGGUAAUAUCUUUUAAUUCUUAUUCUGGUCUACCUUAUGUUUCUGACUAGUCAUGUCUGAUUUAUGUAUUCGCCAAACAGUUUGAUGACGACCCUCACCUUACAAUUUUUAUAGGUGUCAUGAAAGGUACAAAUUUUCCGUUUGACCAAAACUGAAUUUUAUUUUUCGUAGUAUUUUUGUGUUAAUAUUUGUACAUGACAGAAAACUUGUUUACAUUUUAACACAUAGCUUUUCUUUAUUAAUUAAGUUAACGAAGUACCUUGAUUAAGACUUAUAGCUGUUAAAACUUUAAAUUACAUUUUCUUCGAGUAAACUUUUGUUACUUGGAUAAAUAAAAAUGUUUUUUGGCUAAGAUAAAUAAUAAAAAA